rnacentral:rRNA from 1 species
AUGGUGGUGGUGGACUGCCUGACAAAACUUUCCCACUUUGUGCCCCUUCAUCAUCCCUUCACCGCGGCGCAAGUAGCUCGCACCUUCUGGGACUUCAUCAUCAAGCUCCACGGCGUGCCACACUUCACUGUCUCUGACAGGGACAAGAUCUUCACAAGCGAUAUGUGGUGCGAACUACUUGCUGCAGCCGGCACCAAGCUCCUCUACACCACCACCUACCACCCUCAAACCGAUGGCCAAAGCGAGCGCAUCAACCAGUGCCUCGAAAUGUACCUGCGUUGUGCUGUUCAAGAUCGUCCCAAGAAAUGGCGUAAAUGGCUGCCCGUCGCGGAAUUCUGGUACAACUCCACCCAUCAUAGCUCUCUCCAGUGUUCUCCCUUCAAGGCCCUCUACGGCACCAAGCCCAAUUUGGGAGGAUUGCCAGCUUUCAACGACAAGCUCUCCUCCGCCACGGCCUCGAGUGACCUCGACUAGGCGAUGCACAUAGAGUUGCUCCCGGGACCCCUCACCCGCGCCCAAGACCACUUCAAGAAGCAAGCUGACAAGUAGCGCUCGGAACGCGCAUUCACUUUCAGCGAGCAAGCCCUCCUCAAGCUCCAACCUUAUGUGUAGGUCUCCGUCACGAGACGCCCAUGCCGGAAGCUGGCAUACAAGUAUUUCGACCCGUUCACCAUCCUGGAGCGCAUAGGCACCCUCGCCUGCCGCCUGGAGCUACCAUCGGACAGCCGCAUCCAUCCGGUAUUCCACGUCUCUCAAUUGAAGUCGUUCGCCCCCAAACUACUCGCCCGUCUUCUUCGAGUUGCCCAAGAUACUGGACUUGAUGACAACGCCGCUCGUUCCGGUGGCCAUCCAAGAACGCCGCAUGGUGAAGAAAGGAGACGUCGCGCUCAUCCAAGUCCGGUGCAAUGGUCCACACUGCCCGCAGAUGCCACUACCUGGGAGGAUCACGACGUCCUUCGUGCGUGUUUUCAUGUAGCCAGCAUCUGGGAAGACCCUGCGUGUCAGGACCCCGACUCGAUGUCACAUCGAUCUAGCCGGUAA